AGCCUCCUGGUGCUUAUUCCAGGCUGUAUUCUUACGCUUACAAUAUACAAAGAAGAGGCAAAGUAAACCUAUCCCAUAUACCCAUAUAUACCAGGCCUUGUGCCUGGUCUGUAUUGUGAAUGGGGAGGCAUGG
rnacentral:snoRNA from 1 species